rnacentral:rRNA from 1 species
UAAUAUACUAUUUUAGUGUGGAGUGAAUGCCUUGGAAGAAAAAUAUAGGCGCGGACAAUCGCGAAAGUGUUGACACGAGGAAAGCCUGUGACGUCAACCAACCUAAAAUGGGAAACCGGGGCUAAAAAGCCCGCUGCUUAGGCAGUAUCAAGGGGAAGUGAAACAUCUCAGUACCCUGUAGACCAAAUCAACCGAGAUAUCGUUAGUAGUGGUGAGCGAAAGCGAUAAAAAGGCAAAACGAAAAUUUUAUUAUUAAGAAUGAAAAGAAGUUUUGUUUUUCAAUGAAAUUUCUACCUUAGAAGGUGUUAGUCCUGUAAUUCUUUUUUUUUUCGUGAAAGUAAGACGAGGCAAGUUUACCUUGUCUGAGUAUUGGGGGACCACCCUCAAAGCCUAUAGUUAUUUUUCUUACCGAUAGUGAACAAGUACCGUGAGGGAAAGGUGAAAAAGAAGUUGCGACAGUGCAAAGAUCCUGAAACUCCAUAUUUGAGUCGGAGCUAUAAAAAGCAACGGCAUACCUUUUGUAUAAUGGGCAAGUGAAUCUUAAUAAAGGGCAAGCUUAAGCUAAUAAAAGUGUAGGCGAAGAGAAAUCGAGUCCUAUGUGGCAUCCUAAAGUCCUUUGUUAAGUACCCGAAACCGGCUGAUCUAAACUUGAGCAGGCUGAUAUUGUAGUGGCAACAUUCUUUGGAGGGCCGAACCCGUGUAUGUGGCAAAAUACUGGGAUGACUUGAGUUUAGGGGUGAAAGGCCAAUCAAAGUCGGUGAUAGCUGGAUUUCUGCGAAAUCUAUUGAAGUAGAGCGUCCUAAACAGUAAAUCUGGGGUAGAGCACUGUAUAAGCAAGGGGGAGAUCUUCUCUUACUAAACUUUGGCAAACUCCGAAUACAGAUUUUUCAUUUAGGGCAGACAGAGUAUGUAUGCUAAGAUUCAUACUCAAGAGGGAAACAGCCCAGACUGUAGGCUAAGGUCCACAAAAUAGUUUCAGUGGUAAAGGUGAUAUCUGCUCUGAGACCGUCAGGAGGUAGGCUUGGAAGCAGCCAUCCUUUUAAGACAGCGUAACAGCUCACUGACCUAGAGUAGAAGUCCCGCCAAUUUUGAGGGCUUAAAACUAUUACCGAAGCCUCAGACAAAAAUGUUAAGAUAAUUAAAAACUCUUAUAUUUUGUGGUAGCAGAACAUUCCGUAGGUCGUAGAAGUUUUGACGUAAGUUAAGAUCAAGAUAUCGGAAGCGAGAAUACUUGCAUGAGUAGCAUAAAACAAUGAAAUUAAAGCAUUGUGGCCGUAAGUCCAAGGUUUACGAUCUUAAGUAAAACUGGGUCGUGAGAGGGUAACACCUCGAUUUAAAACGGUCCCUAAGCUGUUAAGCCAAAGCUUGCAGUAAUGGGUAAGAUUAAACUGUUAAAAGUUGCUGACGAAAAAUUCACCUUAUUCUUGAAUUUGUCAAGAGUGAGUUAUUUUUUCCAAGAAAAAGGCACUUUAUUUAUACCGUACCUUAAACCGCCUCAGGUGGACGGGUGGAGAACACUAAGGCCUUGAGAUAACCCUGUUGAAGGAACUCGGCAAAAUGACUCUGUAACUUCGGAAUAAGGAGUAAAGGCAUGUAGCGCAAGCUUUUGUCUUUGUCACAAAAUCGGGGGUGGCGACUGUUUAUUAAAAACACAGGUCUCUGCUAACUCGUAAGAGGAUGUAUAGGGACUGACACCUGCCCGGUGCCGGUAGGUGAAGCUUUGAUGUUUACGCAUUGAGGUCAAACCCCGGUAAACGGCGGCUGUAACUAUGACGGUCCUAAGGUAGCGAAAUUCCUUGUCGGGUAAGUUCCGACCCGCAUGAAUGGUGUAACGACUUCCCCGCUGUCUCCAACAGGGACUCAGUGAAAUUACAUAGGUCGUGAAGAUGCGACCAUCCCACAGCUGGACGGAAAGACCCCGUGCACCUUUACUAUAAGCAAAUAUUGUAGGUCAAAGACUCUAGUGUAGAAUAGGUGGGAGCUUAUGAUUCUUUCUCGUCAGAGUCUGAUGAGGCGAUAGUGAAAUACCACCCCGAGAUCUGUUGGCUUAAAGCAAAUAUUGUAGGUCAAAGACUCUAGUGUAGAAUAGGUGGGAGCUUAUGAUUCUUUCUCGUCAGAGUCUGAUGAGGCGAUAGUGAAAUACCACCCCGAGAUCUGUUGGCUUACUAACUAAGGGACAGUGUUUGCUGGGUAGUUUGACUGGGGCGGUCGCCUCCUAAAGAGUAACGGAGGCAUACAAAGGUAGGUUCAUCUCCUUCUAAGGGGAAUUGAGUAUAAUGGUAUAAACCUGCUUGACUGAAAGAAAGACAUUUCGAUCAGAGACGUAAGUCGGUCAUAGUGAUCCGGUGGUUCUUUGUGGAAAGGCCAUCGCGCAAUGGAUAAAAGGUACGCCGGGGAUAACAGGCUAAUGAUCCUCUAGAGCCCCUAUCGACGGGUUCGUUUGGCACCUCGAUGUCGACUCAUCACAUCCUGGAGCUGGAAAAGGUUCCAAGGGUUCGGCUGUUCGCCGACGAAAGUGGUACGUGAGUUGGGUUUAGAACGUCGUGAGACAGUUUGGUCCCUAUCUUCUGUGGGUGUUUGAAAAUUCCGAGGACUAGACCUUAGUACGAGAGGACCGGGAAAACUCGAUCCCUUGUGUUCCGGUUGUUCCCUAAGGGGCAUCGCCGGGUAGCUACAUCGAGAAGAGAUAAUCGACCGUUAGGCGAGAAACUCUCCUCUAGUAAAGUUUUCUAAAGGGGGUGGAAGAUUACCACUUUGAUAGGCGGGAGGUGUAAGAGCUGUAAGGUUUUCAGCUGACCCGUACUAAUCCCUAGAAAAAUAAAAUUAUAUAGUUUUUGC